CCAAGAUUCAAUCUUUCACCAUCCUCCUCCAAAACACGAACCAACCCAUUUCAGAUUUGCGCCCUCCGACCAAAACCCAGAACCCGGAAACUCCGAUUCGGAGCUCCGAUAAUAAUGAAGAAGCUGAAAAGCUACUACAUGCAUCUGAGGCAGCAGCAGCAGCAGAAGACCAUGGAGCUCAAAUGGAUCUUCCCGCUUGCGAUUGGCUCCAUCGUCUCUCUCUUCCUUCUUUUUCUCGCCACGCUAUCCUCACCCGACGGUUCACCCUUGCUUCCGUUCUACCGCUACUCCAUCUCCCUAUCCAGGUCCGUCUUCAUCGAAUCCAAGCUCCACCCCCUCCCCAUUUCAACGCUCCCUCCUCCGCCGCGCUUCGCUUACUUCAUCUCCGGCUCUAACGGCAACGGCAACAUGCUCAAACGGACGUUACAGGCGCUCUACCACCCCCACAACCAGUACGUCGUCCACUUGGACUUGGAGUCGCCGCCGGAGGAGCGGUUGGAUCUGCAGAAUUACGUUUCUGCCCACCCGGUGUUUACCAGGUUUGGGAACGUCAGGAUGAUCACCAAGGCUAAUUUGGUCACUUACCGCGGCCCGACUAUGGUGGCCAACACGCUCCACGCGGCGGCGAUUUUGCUCAAGGAAGGCGGCGAUUGGGAUUGGUUUAUCAACCUCAGUGCUUCGGAUUAUCCACUUGUCACUCAGGACGAUCUGCUGCACACAUUUUCGUACCUGCCGCGGGAUCUUAAUUUCAUUGAUCAUACUAGCAACAUUGGAUGGAAAGAGUUCCAAAGGGCCAAACCCCUAAUUGUGGAUCCUGGGUUGUAUAUGACAAAGAAGGAAGACGUGUUUUGGGUUACACAGCGCCGGAGUGUGCCAACUGCUUUCAAGCUUUUUACAGGUUCUGCUUGGAUGGCACUUUCAAAGCCUUUUAUUGAUUACUGUAUAUGGGGAUGGGACAACCUACCUCGAACUGUUCUCAUGUAUUAUACAAACUUUAUAUCAUCCCCAGAAGGAUACUUUCACACUGUCAUCUGUAAUGCACAAGAGUUCCGCAAUACAACUGUGAAUACUGACCUACAUUUCAUAGCAUGGGACAAUCCUCCCAAGCAACAUCCUCACCACCUGAACCUUGGAGAUAUGCAAAGGAUGAUUGGGAGCAAUGCUCCAUUUGCAAGAAAGUUUCGGAAAGACGAUCCCGUGCUUGACAAAAUCGAUUCUGAGCUGUUGUUUAAAGGUCCAGGCAUGUUUGUUCCUGGUGGUUGGUGCACAGGAAAAAGGGUAAAUGGGUCUGAUCCAUGCUCUGCUAUUGGUGAUACCACAGUUCUCAGGCCUAGUCCUGGAGCAAAAAGGCUAGAACUUUUGAUAAGCAAGCUAAUGUCAAAUGAAAAUUUCCGACCAAAACAGUGCAAAUGACAAGAAAUUAAAACUGUUGUUAAACCGAUCCCAGGUUCUAUUUCUGUUCGUUAAUACUUUAUAAUGGAAUACAGCAUCUUCAGGGAAAUGAUAUUUGUAGCUGGAGGAGGCUCAAAGUAUGCACAUACCUAAUGACAUGGUAGCUCAAAGGAUGCACUUCGGAUUUACAGAGCCAAGAAUGUGGUGGAAUUGUAUCAAUUACUGAGCUAGAUUGCCUCCUGCUGUGAUGAUAUGGCCCCAUCACCCUUGAAACAGGCGAAGAACUAAUGCCAAAGUCUGUCAUGCAGAUGAUGAUAAAGCAUCGAGCUCUCUGGCUAAAGCAAUAGUAUCACAUCGAUCAGGCGUGAGUGUGUGUUUUCCGAAGUCAUCCAAUCAGUUCGCGCAUCCAUUCCAUCAGUACAUGCAUAUCCCAGUAUGUACUGUGCAACGCGUGCUUCAUUCUACUGCAUGGUAUCCAUUUCAAGUUAGAACCAGAACUCCAGUCUCUGAUUCACAAAAACUGAACUAGAGUAUAUCCGUUAGUCUAUAUGCAUUUAUGAAUUAAGGGCAACCGCCCUUGUCUCUACCUUGCACAAUG